rnacentral:rRNA from 1 species
CCUACGGGAGGCAGCAGUGGGGAAUUUUGGACAAUGGGCGAAAGCCUGAUCCAGCAAUGCCGCGUGAGUGAAGAAGGCCUUCGGGUUGUAAAGCUCUUUUGUCAGGGAAGAAACGGUGAGGGCUAAUAUCCCUUGCUAAUGACGGUACCUGAAGAAUAAGCACCGGUCUAACUACGUGCCAGCAGCCGCGGUAAUACGUAGGGUGCAAGCGUUAAUCGGAAUUACUGGGCGUAAAGCGUGCGCAGGCGGUUUUGUAAGUCUGUCGUGAAAUCCCCGGGCUCAACCUGGGAAUUGCGAUGGAGACUGCAAGGCUAGAAUCUGGCAGAGGGGGGUAGAAUUCCACGUGUAGCAGUGAAAUGCGUAGAGAUGUGGAGGAACACCGAUGGCGAAGGCAGCCCCCUGGGUCAAGAUUGACGCUCAUGCACGAAAGCGUGGGGAGCAAACAGGAUUAGAUACCCUGGUAGUCCACGCCCUAAACGAUGUCUACUAGUUGUCGGGUUUUAAUUAACUUGGUAACGCAGCUAACGCGUGAAGUAGACCGCCUGGGGAUACGGUCGCAAGAUUAAAACUUAAGGAAUUGACGG